rnacentral:rRNA from 1 species
ACAGGCCGCUGGUGUAUCUGUUGUAGUGCCAACUGCAUGGCAGAGUAGCCAAGCCUGGAAGGGAUAAACGCUGAAGGCAUCUAAGCGUGAAGCCCCCCUCAAGAUGAGAUAUCCCAUUCUUAGGAAGUAAGACCCCUUGAAGACGACGAGGUAGAUAGGGCAGAGGUGGAAGUGCAGCAAUGUAUGGAGCUGACUGCUACUAAUCGGUCGAGGGCUUGACCAGAA